UUACUCCUACGGGAGGCAGCAGUGGGGAAUAUUGCACAAUGGGCGGAAGCCUGAUGCAGCGACGCCGCGUGAGGGAUGACGGCCUUCGGGUUGUAAACCUCUUUCAGUAGGGAAGAAGCGAAAGUGACGGUACCUGCAGAAGAAGCGCCGGCUAACUACGUGCCAGCAGCCGCGGUAAUACGUAGGGCGCAAGCGUUAUCCGGAAUUAUUGGGCGUAAAGAGCUCGUAGGCGGUUUGUCGCGUCUGCCGUGAAAGUCCGGGGCUCAACUCCGGAUCUGCGGUGGGUACGGGCAGACUAGAGUGAUGUAGGGGAGACUGGAAUUCCUGGUGUAGCGGUGAAAUGCGCAGAUAUCAGGAGGAACACCGAUGGCGAAGGCAGGUCUCUGGGCAUUAACUGACGCUGAGGAGCGAAAGCAUGGGGAGCGAACAGGAUUAGAUACCCUGGUAGUCCAUGCCGUAAACGUUGGGCACUAGGUGUGGGGGACAUUCCACGUUUUCCGCGCCGUAGCUAACGCAUUAAGUGCCCCGCCUGGGGAGUACGGCCGCAAGGCUAAAACUCAAAGGAAUUGACGGGGGCCCGCACAAGCGGCGGAGCAUGCGGAUAUAAGUCGAUGCAACGCGAAGAACCUUACCAAGGCUUGACAUGAACCGGUAAGACCUGAAACCAGUCCCCCUCCA
rnacentral:rRNA from 1 species